rnacentral:rRNA from 1 species
GAUGAACGCUGGCGGCGUGCCUAAUACAUGCAAGUCGAGCGAACAGACGAGGGGCUUGCUCCUCUGACGUUAGCGGCGGACGGGUGAGUAACACGUGGAUAACCUACCUAUAAGACUGGGAUAACUUCGGGAAACCGGAGCUAAUACCGGAUAAUAUAUUGAACCGCAUGGUUCAAUAGUGAAAGACGGUUUUGCUGUCACUUAUAGAUGGAUCCGCGCCGCAUUGGCUAGUUGGUAAGGUAACGGCUUACCAAGGCAACGAUGCGUAGCCGACCUGAGAGGGUGAUCGGCCGCACUGGAACUGAGACACGGUCCAGACUCCUACGGGAGGCAGCAGUAGGGAAUCUUCCGCAAUGGGCGAAAGCCUGACGGAGCAACGCCGCGUGAGUGAUGAAGGUCUUCGGAUCGUAAAACUCUGUUAUUAGGGAAGAACAAAUGUGUAAGUAACUAUGCACGUCUUGACGGUACCUAAUCAGAAAGCCACGGCUAACUACGUG